CAAUCUGGAAGCUCCAUUAAGAACCUUAGGAAAAUCACAGUCUAAAUAUCCCAAUGUGAAUUUAAGAGCUGUCAAAAAAAAAAAAAAUCCCAAAAGAUCUCCACAGAUGGCAGAAGACCUCCAGGAAAGGCAGAACGAUCAGAAAAGGAAGGAAUUUUUGGCGUAUCAGAAAAGAUUCUGCUGGCAGAUCCAAGAGGACCAAUACUGAUAGAUG